rnacentral:rRNA from 1 species
GACGAACGCUGGCGGCGUGCUUAACACAUGCAAGUCGAACGGACAGGUCCUGCUUUUGUGGGGUGCUCGAGUGGCGAACGGGUGAGGAACACGUGAGUAACCUGCCCUUGACUUUGGGAUAACUUCAGGAAACUGGGGCUAAUACCGGAUAGGAGCUCCUGCCGCUUGGUGGGGGUUGGAAAGUUUCGGCGGUUGGGGAUGGACGCGCGGCUUAUCCGCUUGUUGGUGGGGUAGUGGCCUGCCAAGGCUUGGACGGGUAGCCGGCCUGAGAGGGUGACCGGCCACAUUAGGACUGAGAUACGGCCCAGACUCCUACGGGAGGCAUCAGUGGAGAAUAGUGCACAAUGGGCGGAAGCAUGGUGCAGCAACGCCGCGUGCGGGAUAACGGCCUUCGGGUUGUAAACCGCAUUCGCCUAUGACGAAACGUGAGUGACGGUAAUGGGUAAAGAAGCACCGGCUAACUACGUG